GCCUCUGUAGCUCAUGUGGAUGAGCAGUCGGUUGAAGCCCGACGGGAGCUGGUUCGACUCCAGCCAGUGGCACC
rnacentral:tRNA from 1 species